CUCUGCAAUUUACCAAACCACAGCCUCAGCGUUCGCAGCAGUGGAGGGGAGGCUGGAGGGAGGCAGGCUUCUCCAGUGUAGUGGGCUCCAAACAUCCGUGACUUGGGUGCAGCCGGUCCUGCCAGCUCACCACACCACAGUGCCUUACUCCAAACGCUUGACCUUCCCGAGUGUGGUGUGCACUGCACCAGGACCCAGGGGAGGGGACCCUCACUGGACAUGCCUGUGUUGGCAUGAAUGGCCCCAAAGAGUCACAAUCUCUCCAUCACUAGCUGUGUGUCUUCCUAGCCAGCCCCAACUGGCCUUUGGGUACCUUUCAUGAGAAAACCACACCACACGCAAAAGGCUAGUUAGAGCCGUCUGUGACAAGCUGCACUGCAAGUCACCCAUCUGGUUCUUAGUCUCCUGGUCUAGAAAGGAAAGGGUUGAGCCAGCCGAGUCCCCGCCAGCCCCACAAUCCCACCACAUACAACACUCUCUUUUCUCGUCGUGUUCCAGAACCUCAGUGAGGACUCUGUGUGGUAGCAUCUGCUCAGUGACAUCACUCCCUGCCCCAAACAUCAUGUCAUCGAUUCUCAGAGGGGAAGCAGAGCUGUCCCAGGAAACACUUUGUCUGUAAAAAGGGGAGGAAAUGACCAUUUCCAGGGAACUAGACAGGACUCCUUUUGUAUUUUCCACAUAGCAUACACAUUAUUAUCAGUCUUAAAACUCGGGGUCUUUCUUUUUGCCAGACCAUUAAUAGCUGCUUUUCAAAAAUGCUUUCUUCGUCAGAAUCUCACCAACAAACUGGAAAGGCACUGCCUGGGUCCCAGAGCAGAGAAUGGCAUCUGUUGAAAGCAGUGCCAACCUCAAUGAGGACGAGAGACAAGGACCCUAGCCCAGCCUGCAGCCCUGGAGAAGAGGCGGGGAAGCAGGCUGGCUUGGAGUAGGGCGACCCACUGCCCCAAGCCCUCUGAAAGGAGUGCUCUGGCGAUGGCGGUGGAAGAUGCUUGCCAAGCCAGAUGCCAGAAACGGAUGAAUCCCCUGCCUGGUCACUUUCCCCCUCUCCCCAGCCUGAGCCCAGCCCCACUCACUGUAAAGAGCACCUCUCUGCUGGAGACCCAGGAACAGGAGCCCGAGGCCGACGUUACCACAAGCCCCAGUCCUCUCCAACAGCGAAAUAAAAGGCACUUCAGAGACCAAAGCGCAGUCUAGGGCAGCAACCAA